rnacentral:rRNA from 1 species
GAUGAACGCUGGCGGCGUGCCUAAUACAUGCAAGUCGAGCGAACAGACGAGGAGCUUGCUCCUCUGACGUUAGCGGCGGACGGGUGAGUAACACGUGGAUAACCUACCUAUAAGACUGGGAUAACUUCGGGAAACCGGAGCUAAUACCGGAUAACAUGUUGAACCGCAUGGUUCAAAAGUGAAAGACGGUCUUGCUGUCACUUAUAGAUGGAUCCGCGCCGCAUUAGCUAGUUGGUAAGGUAACGGCUUACCAAGGCAACGAUGCGUAGCCGACCUGAGAGGGUGAUCGGCCACACUGGAACUGAGACACGGUCCAGACUCCUACGGGAGGCAGCAGUAGGGAAUCUUCCGCAAUGGGCGAAAUCCUGACGGAGCAACGCCGCGUGAGUGAAGAAGGUCUUCGGAUCGUAAAACUCUGUUAUUAGGGAAGAACAAAUGUGUAAGUAACUAUGCACGUCUUGACGGUACCUAAUCAGAAAGCCACGGCUAACUACGUG